UUGGAGGGCAAGUCUGGUGCCAGCAGCCGCGGUAAUUCCAGCUCCAAUAGCGUAUAUUAAAGUUGUUGCAGUUAAAAAGCUCGUAGUUGAAUUUCGGGGUCAGUAGGCUGGUCGUGCCACAGGUAUGUACUGGUCUCACUGAUUCCUCCUUCCUGAUGAACCGUAAUGCCAUUAAUUUGGUGUUGCGGGGAAUCUGGACUGUUACUUUGGAAAAAUUAGAGUGUUUAAAGCAGGCUAACGCUUGAAUACAUUAGCAUGGAAUAAUGAAAUAGGACGAUCGAUCCUAUUUUGUUGGUUUCUAGGAUUGACGUAAUGAUUAAUAGGGAUAGUUGGGGGCAUUAGUAUUCAAUUGUCAGAGGUGAAAUUCUUGGAUUUAUUGAAGACUAACUACUGCGAAAGCAUUUGCCAAGGAUGUUUUCAUUAAUCAAGAACGAAAGUUAGGGGAUCGAAGACGAUCAGAUUCCGUCGUAGUCUUAACCAUAAACUAUGCCGACUAGGGAUCGGAUGAUGUUAAUUUUUUAAUGACUCAUUCGGCGCCUUACGGAAAA
rnacentral:rRNA from 1 species